rnacentral:rRNA from 2 species
GUCCUUUAGAUUUAGAAUUUAAGGUUUAACCUCCCCAAUCAAAUAUAAUUAAAUGCCCGCAGUAAUUUGCCUGUGCAAAGGUAGCAUAAUCAUUAGUUUUUUAAUUAAAAGCUUGAAUGAAAGGUUGGACGAAAUAAAAUCUGUCUUAAAUUUAAAAGUAGAACUUAAUUUUUAAGUUAAAAAGCUUAAAUAUUUAUAAAAGUCGAGAAGUCCCUAUAGAUCUUUAUUAUAAUUUAAGUUAGUUUUAUUUAAGAUUUUUAUAUUAAUUAUCUUAUUUAUAAUUUUAUUGGGGUAAUAAAAAGAUUAAAUUAAUUCUUUUAUUUUUUUUACAUUGAUUAUUGAUUUUUUGAUCCAUUUAUAUUGAUUAUAAGAUUAAGUUACCUUAGGGAUAACAGCGUAAUUUUUUUAGAGAGUUCUUAUCGAUAAAAAAGUUUGCGACCUCGAUGUUGGAUUAAAAUUUAUUUUAGGUGUAGAAGUCUAAACUUUUGGUCUGUUCGACCAUUAAAAUUUU